rnacentral:rRNA from 1 species
ACUCCUACGGGAGGCAGCAGUGGGGAAUAUUGGACAAUGGGGGCAACCCUGAUCCAGCCAUGCCGCGUGUAUGAAGAAGGCCCUCGGGUUGUAAAGUACUUUCAGUGGGUGAGGAAGGUUGCGUGGUUAAUACCCACGUAAUUUGACGUUAGCCACAGAAGAAGCACCGGCUAACUCCGUGCCAGCAGCCGCGGUAAUACGGAGGGUGCAAGCGUUAAUCGGAAUUACUGGGCGUAAAGCGCGUGUAGGUGGCUUGUUAAGCCAGAUGUGAAAGCCCGC